GCGCUCUUAGCUCAGUUGGAUAGAGCAACAGCCUUCUAAGCUGUGGGUCGUGGGUUCGAAUCCCGCAGAGCGCGCCA
rnacentral:tRNA from 1 species